AAGCAGCGUUUAUUGUAGUUUGGUGACCAGGGAUUCAAGCAAAAGGAAUACUGCUUCUUUGUGAGGUGGGUGAAAGGGAUUUCACUAAAACUCAACAAAACUAGAAGCCUAAGUGCCUUAGAGACUUGGAAAUUUGGAGAACAAGAAACAAGGAAAAGGGACAAGAAUAAAGGCUAAGCUGCUUGAAGGAACAGUGGAAUUAACAUACAAGGAUGGGAAAAGUCAAUAAAUACAACAGAUGGUCUCGGCAUGGAAAAUCCCGAGAUUGGAGGGGUAGUCUGCAAUAGGCUGAUCCGGAGGCUGUUGGACACAAUAAAUUGGUAGCAAUUGAUGCACCAUGUUUAACAAUCAUCCACAGUGAACCGAGGCAGGAGCCAUCUGGAACAGAAUGUACUAUGGUGCCAGCAGAUAGAGGAACCAAGAAAUCGGAUCCCAGAAAAUGAGGCUGGCUCCGAUAAACAGUACAGGUAAGAUAACAGCCACAGGAACUAGUUUGAGCCAAGGAAAAUCUGGAUAAAAUGAGCCAUCGAAAGCGUUAGCUUGGGUAAUACCAGUUCCGGAGGCUAGGGGAAUCUGGCUUCCUCCGCGCUUUGAGAUCUGAGGCUAAAAGGACCAGUUGCGGAGGAUUCUCUCAGAAACCGACCCCGGGAGGCUGAGAAAGUAGUAGGUUGAGAUCUUUAAUGGGCUGGUGUGUCCAUGGACCAACGUGAGGGUUUGGAAACCUGGACUGGUGUGGUUGGGCCCAGGAGGCUGUGAAGGUUGGAACCCACAAGCCACAGAAGCUGCAUGGGACUGGCUCCCUCGACUUAGGAGUCAAUGCCUGCGGAGAAUCUUGGGAGUAUUGUCUCCCAGCAUAGGCAUCUGAUGGGCUCUUAAAAGGUAUUUGGAAAAACUAUGGAUGCUAUGUUUGGGGAAUGAAGUUUCAUGAAGACAUUUUAAAUAAACCUUGUUGGUAUCAUUAAAAUCUUCCAUAUCUUUCCUCAUCUAUGUUAUAUGUUCAAAUCUGAGAAAAGCAUAUUAAAGUAUCUCACUCAUUGUA